rnacentral:piRNA from 1 species
UUCGCCCGUUAACUUGAACGA